ensembl:lncRNA
GCGACGUUUUCAGGCCGUGGCAUCCUCCGCACUCGGAGCCUGGGAUGCAGCAGGCGGGCAGAACUGUUGGAUGCAUGCAAUGGCGCGCGGGGCUGUCGACACCGAGGCGGAUAAACGCAGGCCCCACCUAAAAGAACUGCCGGCCUCUGAGGAAACAGGUGGCUGGGACUUGGUCACGGACCCCCGUCCGUCUCUGUCAGAAGGCUGCUUCUAGGGCAUGGAUCCUCCGGCACUUUGGCCUGGGCCUGUGCAUUCCUGUGAGCAGAGAAAGCCCUGGUGGAGUGGAGGAGCUUGCAGACAAAAGCUGUAGGUGAGUGUGGAGAGGUAAGCCAGCUCUGACCACAUCUGCUCCCACAUCAGUGGAGGUGCAAGCAGGGAGCUAUGCAAGUCCAUGUGAGAGGGAGGGCAGGAUCACACGUGAAGCCACAAAACCAGGUAAGGUCAUCACCAAGAGUGCCGUUUGAGAAGAGAAGAGGCCCAAGGACAGAGCCACUGGGCCCUCCAGUUUCUAGAGGUCCACAAGAGGAGGAAGAACCUGGAAGAGACUGAGAAACUGUGACCGAGGAGAGAGGAGAAAAACCUAAAAGCCCCAUGAAACACUGUGACUGAGGAGGCAUGGUAGCCUCCACAGCGUGCCAUGUUGGCCCAUGCGGAGGUCCCCGUGACCUCACAGCAGCGGCUCUGGGGGCUGGGACGGGGAGGCCUGAGUGCAGAGGGCCCCUUGGUUUUAACAGCUGCUCUCAUGCAACACCUGUAUCUGUCAGCUUUCUCUGGGUUACUCUGAGUAAGAAACAAGCUCAAAAACUCAGCAACUUGCAGUGGCAUCCGUAGGAGUCCAGUCAGGACACAAAAGCCAUACCAGGAACUUAAAGGGGGAACUUCUAGUGUAAAGAAUUGUUGACUAGGAGAGCAGGGUGUUAAUAAAGGGUGAAAGCCCCCUGGCGUCCUGGACCCUCCAGGUGCUCAGCAGCCCAGAUUUGGAAUGUCUGUGGUCUGGCCUCAACUGCCCUCUCUUCCUGCUGUUGUCCCUGGGAUGAGAGGGAUGAGGCCCUCCGGGAAGGUGGCCUAGACGGGGCUGCCAGCAGGAUGAUGACCCUCCCUCCCACACAGUCUCUGCGAGGCCUGCCAAUCAUGGCUCUCUCUGUUCCACAUUCGUGUUAACAAGCAAACACACACUAGGGUUUGUUUUUUAUUUUCUAAAUAUAAAAUAUGUUUCUGAAGACGCCUUCUCAAAGGACAUCAGGUAUGCCCUUCCCAGGCGAGACUCUGACCCAGGCCGAGGCAGGAGGUCAGUAAGGGGGUAGGGGCAGGUGCUGACAGCAGGGUCCUGAGCUGCCUCCCCCAUCACAGCUGCUGUCUACGUGGCACGUGGGAGAAACAAGGUCCCCGAGGCUCCUGGCACAGUGGGGAGGGGUCAGGACUGUUUUCUGUAAAGGAAAUGCCACCACAAAGAGCACUUGUCCACCCUCCCUGGCCUGGAGUCUCUUGAAGGCGUCCUAGGGAAAAGAGACCCUCCCGGAAAACCCCUCCCUUCCCUCUAGGUGUGUGGGUGGAGAAGGGUCUUUGUGGUGGGGGAAUCUUCACAGGCCACCAGGGAUGGGGGGGUGAGGUGCAGGGGGUGUGAGUGCCUGUGUGAGGGGCAUCUUCUGCGUUUGUAACCCGUGAAUGGGGUGGGGUCCACGUGGGCUGAGUGUUGGGGCCAGAGAAGUCUGUGAGGGUGAAGGGUUAUCCAUACGUGGGGGGUGCUGUGUGUGUGCAGCCAUGUGUAAGGAUCUGUGUGUGCGAGGUCUCUAGGGGGUCAGCACAUGUGGCCCUGAGUGGGGUGGUGGCCAAUCAGCCAAUUCUAUUUACUGAGAAGUGUGGGUGUGGAGGUGUCCUCAUGUGGCCAAGGAAGAGGUCAGUCUUUGUGUGUGACCCUGGGCAGAGGCUCUGGGCACAAGCGAGGUGCUCCAGGUCUGGGGCAAUGAGCCCCUCAUGACUCUGCCCCUGACAAGGGCAGCCGUGAGGCCCAUCAGCCAAGGUGGCUGUGCCGUGCUGCACAGCCGAGGUGUUGAGAGUGUGACCUGGAGAGGAGACUUGGGGACCUUCCAGGAGUACCUGGGGACUCCCGCGCUGGAGCCCUCUCAUCCACGGGCCCCACCGACCCCAUCCUGAGGCCGUUCUGUGUGGUCUCUGCCUUCCAGCAUUCCACUCAGCAGACCAGCAGACUUCCCGCCAUGGCCAAUGUGUUCAGGACCGAGGGGGCCCAGUGCCUUUCCAGCAGCCUGUUUCAUGCACCCCUUUCUUGGAGGGGGGCUUCCAUUCCUUCACCUCCUCUGUCUGCAUCCCCUGUGGUCAAGCUCCGGGUGGUUAUUAGUAGCCUCCAUGGAACCGGUCCAGGACACUCUUCAGCCUUCUCCUCCCUGACCUCUGGGCAGCCUGUGGGAUGCCCUCCCAACGUCCUUCCAUCCUAGGGGCUGCCUGUUUCCUCUCCAGACCCUCUUUUCUGCCUGUAGAAGUUGGUUACCUUCCAGCUUCAUCCUCACACCCCACACACUCCCUGGAGAAUGUGCCCAUGGCCUCAAUCACUUGUGGGUUCAAUUUGCUGAUACCCCCCAAAUAUGCAUCUGUAUCCCAGAUUUGCUUUCUAAACUCCAGACGCACAUGUUCAAUUGCCCGCUUAGCACCUACACGUGGGUGUCCUCGGAAGCAGAAUGGAGAAAUAAGUGCUGUCCAAGGGCUGAGUUUAGUUCAUAUCCUCUCACUGUAAUCAACCCUCACCUUGAGUAUCACGGCUUUUCUGAGUCUGAGCGCUUCUAGCCAAUCACUGGACCUCUGGGGGCCCCGAGCUUCACUCUCAAGUCAGGCUGCGAGCUGCUCCAUGCAGCUUCCCUUCCCUGGCCCAAGAGCUGUCUCUCUCCCACUCACUACGCUCCAGCCACCCUGCCCUUCUCUCAGCCCUGGAAAACACCAGGCUUGUCCUGAUGCAGGGUCUCUGCACUCACUGCUCCCUCUGCAGCCGGCCCUGUGGCUGCUCCUUCCCAUCUCUGAGUCUCAGCUCAAACGCCCACGUCCUCAGCAAAGCCUUUCCAAUUACUCCAAAUCUUAACACAGCAAACAUUCAUUACCUCACAGUUUCUGUGGAUCAGAAAUCUAGGUGUGACUUAACUGGAUACCUCAGGUUCAAGUUCUGUCUUGAAUCUCGGUCAAGCUGUUGGCCAGACAGAGGGUUAUGGUCUCAUCUGAAGGCUUGAUCUGAAGACCACCACUUCCAAACUCAUUCAUGAGGUUGUGGUCAGGCCCGGUCCCUUGUCACUUGGGCUUCCUCAUGGGGCUGCCUCACUACAUGGUAACUACUUAACUUAGCAUGGGGCCAAGAUGGAGCCAUAGUUUUUCUUUAAUUGAAGUACAAUUGACAUAUAACAUUAUAUUACUUCAAAUGUACAACAUAAUUAUUCAAUACUUGUAUAUAUUGCAAAAUGGUCAUCACGAUAAGUCUACUUAACAUCCAUUACCACACAGUUACAAAUUUUUUUUCUUGUCAUGAAAACUUUUAAGAUCUACUCUCUUACCAACUUUCAAAUAUGCAAUACAGUAUUAUUAACUAUAGUCACCAUGCUGUACAGUACAUUCUCAUGACUCACUUAUUUUAUAGCUGGAAAUUUGUACCUUUUGACACACUUCACCCAUAUUGCCCACCCCCCACCCCCAGCCUCUGGCAACCACCAAUCUGUACUCUGUAUCUAUUAACUCAGUUGUUUUUAUUUUUUAGAUUCCAAAUAUAAGUGAGAUCAUAUGGUAUUUGUGUUUCUCUGACUUAUUUCACUUAGCAUAGUUCCCUCAAGGUCCAUCCAUGUUGUAGCAAAUGGCAAGAUGUCAUUCCUUUUUAUGGCUGAGUAGUAUUCCUUUACAUAUAUAUACAUCUUCUUUUUUUUUUUUUUUUUUUGGAGGAAGAGUAGCCCUGAGCUAAUUACUGCCAAUGCUCCUCUUUUUGCUGAGGAAGACUGGCCCUGAGCUAACAUCCAUGCCCAUCUUCCUCUACUUUAUAUGUGGGACGCCUACCACAGCAUGGCUUUUGCCAGGCAGUGCCCUGUCUGCACCCAGGAUCCAAAGCAGCGAACCACAGGCCGCCGAGAAGCAGAAUGUGUGAACUUAACCGCUGCACCACCAGGCCAGCCCACACAUCUUCUUUAUCCAUUCAUCCAUUCUUGGGCACUUAGGUUAUUCCCAUGUCUUGGCUGUUGUAAAUAAUGCUACAAUGAACAUGCAUGCUUAUAUCUUUUCAAAUUAUCAUUUUCGUUUUCUUCAGAUAAAUACCCAGAAGUGGAAAUGCUGGAUCAUAUGGUAGUUCUCCUUUUCACUUUUUGAGGAACCUCCAUACUGUUUUCCACAGUGGCUGAACCAAUUUAUGUUCCCAACAGUGCACAAGUGUUCCCUUUCUCCACAUCCUCACAAGCACUUCUUAUCUUUUUGAUAAUAAUAACGACUCUAACAGAUGUGAGGUGAUAUCUCAUUGUGGUUUUGAUUUGCAUUUCCCUGAUGAUUAGUGAUGUUGAGCACCUUUUCAUGUACCUGUUGGCCACCUGUAUGUCUUCUUUGGAAAAAUGUUUAUUCAGGUCUUCUGCCCAUUUUUUAAUUAGAUUGUUUGGUUUUUUGCUACUGAUUUGCAUAUAUUCUUUACAUAUUUUGGAUAUUAGCCCCUUAUCAGAUAUACAAUUUGCAAAUAUUUUCACCCAUUUGAUAGGUUGUCUUUUCAUUUUGUUGAUGUGCAGAAGCUUUUUAGUUUGAUGUAGCCCCACUUGUUUAUUUUUGCUUUUGUUGCCUUUGCCUUUGGUGUCAAAUCCAAAAGGUCAUUGCCAAGACCCAUGUCAAGGAACUUACUGCCUAUGUUUUCUUCUAGGAGCUUUAUGGUAUCAGGUCUUACAUUCAAGUCUUUAACCCAUUUUGAGUUAAUUUUUGUGCAUAGUGUAAUACAGGGGUCCAGUUUCAUUCUUUUGCCUGUGGCUGCUCACUUUUCCCAACAUCUUCCCAUUUAUUGAAGAGUCUGUCCUUUCCCCAUUGUAUAUUCUUAGCUCCUUUAUCAUAAAUUAAUUGACCAUAUAUGCAUGGGUUUAUUUCAGGGCUUUCUAUUCUGUCCCAUUGACCUAUGUGUCUGUUUUUAUGCCAAUACCAUACUAUAACUUUGUAAUACCCUUUGAAAUCAGGAAGUGUGAUGCCUCCAGCUUUGUUCUUCUCAAAAUUGCUUUGGCUAUUCAGGGUCUUUUGUGGUUUUAAAAAUUUUAGGAUUGUUUUUUCUAUUUCUGUGAAAAACGUCAUUGGAAUUUUGAUAGGGAUUGCAUUGAAUCUGUAGAUUGCUUUGGGUAGUAUGGAUAUUAUAACAUUAAUUCUUCCAACCCAUGAGCACAGAAUAUCUCUCCAUUUAUGUGUAUUUUCUUUAAUUUCUUUCAUUAAUGUCUUAUAAUUUUCAGUGUACUGGCCUUUCACAUCCUUAAUUAAAUUUCUUCCUAGGUAUUUUAUUCUUUUUGAUGCAAUUGUAAAUGGGAUUGUUUUCUUAAUUUCUCUUUCUGAUAGUUCAUUAGUAGUGUAUAGAAAUGCACCAGAUUUUUGUUUAUUGAUUUUGUAUCCUGCAACUUUACUGAAUUUGUUUAUUAGUUCUAACAGUUUUUUGGUGGAGUCUUAGGGUUUUCUAUAUACAAUAUCAUUUCAUCUUCAGAUAGUGACAGUUUUACUCCUUCCUUUCCAUUUUGAUGCCUUUUAUUUCUGUUUCUUGCCUAAUUGCUCUGGCUAGGACUUCCAGUGCUGUGCUGACUAAAGUGGCAGGAGUGGGCAUCCUUGUCUUGUUCCUGAUCUUAGAGGAAAGCUUUCAGCUUUUCACCAUUUAGUAUAAUGUUAGCUGUGGGUUUGUCAUAUAUGGCCUUUAUUAUGUCGAGUUAUGUUCCCUCUAUACUCACUUUAUUGAGAGUUUUUAUCCUAAAUGGAUGUUAAAUUUUGUCAAGUGCUUUUUCUGCAUCUAUCAAGAUGAUCAUAUGAUUUUUAUCCUUCAUUUUGCUAAUUUGGUGUAUCAUAUUGAUUGAUUUGUGGAUGUUGAACCAUCCUUACAUCCCUGGAAUAAAUCCCACUUGAUCAUGGUGUAUGAUCCUUUUAAUGUAUUGUUGUAUUUGACUUGCUAAUAUUUUAUUCAGGAUUUUUGCAUCUGUGUUCAUCAGGGAUAUUGGCCUGUAAUAUUCCUUUCUUGUGGUAUCCUUGUCUGGUUUUGGUAUCAGGGUAAUUCUACUCUCACAAAAUGAGUUCAAAAGUGUUCCCUCCUCUCCUAUUUUUUGGGAGAGUUUGAGAAGAAUUGGUACAUAUUCUUCUUUAAAUGUUUGGUAAAAUUCACCAGUGAAGCCACCUGGUCUUGGACUUUUGUUUGUUGGGAGGCUUUUGAUUAUUUUGAUUCAGUCGCCUUACUAGCAAUCAGUCUGUUCAAAUUUUCUAUUUCUUCAUGAUUCAGUCUUGGUAGGUUGUAUGUUCUAGGAAUUUAUCCAUUUCUUCUAGGUUGUCCAAUUUGUUGGCAUAUAAUUGUUCCUAGUAGUCUCAUGAUCCUUUGUGUUUCUGUGGUGUCAAUUGUAAUGUCUCCUCUUUAGUUUCUGAUUUUAUUUAUUUGAGUAUCUCUCUCUCUUUUUUGUUGGUGAGUCUAACUGAAGGUUUGUCAAUUUGUUUAUCUUUUCAAAGAAAUAGAUCUUAGUUUCAUUGAUCUCUUCCAUUGUCUUUUUAGCCUCAGUUUCAUGUAUUGCCACCCUGAUGUUUGUUAUUUCCUUCCUUCUACUAACUUUGGGCUUCAUUUGUUCUUCUUUUUCUAGUUCCUUCAGGUGUAAAGUUAGGUUGUUUGCUUGAGGUUUUUCUUGUUUCUUGAUGUAUGCAUUUAUCACCAUGAAUUUCCCUCUUAGAACUGCUUUUGCUGCAUCCCAUAAGUUUUGAUAUGUUGUAUUGCCAUUUUCAUUUGUCUCAAUGUACUUUUUAAUUUUUCUUUUGAUUUCUUCUAUGACCCAUUGGUUGUUCAGUAGCAUGUUGUUUAAUCUCCACAUAUUUCUGAAUUUUCCAGUUUUCUUCUUGUAAUUGAUUUCUAGUUUCAUACCAUUGCGGUCAGAAAAGAUGCUUGAUAUGAUUUCAAUCUUCUUAAAUUUAUUAACACUUGUUUUGUGACCUAAUGUACAAUCUAUCCUGGAGAAUGUUCCACAUGCACUUGAGAGGAAUGUGUAUUCUGUUGCUUUUGGAUGGAAUGUUCUGUAAAUAUCUGUUAAGUUCAUCUGGUCUAACAUGUCAUUUAAGGCUGAUGUUUCCGUAUUGAUUUUCUGUCUGGAUGAUCUGUCCAUUGAUGUAAGUAGGGUAUUCAAGUCCCCUAAUAUUAUUGUAUUGCUGUCUAUUUCUCCAGUUAGGUCUGUUAAUAUUUGCUUUAUAUAUUUAGGUGCUCCUAUGUUGGGUGAACAAAUAUUUAUAAAUGUUAUAUCCUCUUGUUGGAUUGACCCCUUUAUCAUUAUGUAAUGUCCUUCUUUGUCUAUUAUUGUAGUCUUUGUUUUAAAGUUGAAAUUGUCUGAUAUAAGUAUAGCUACUCCUGCUUUUUUUUUUUUUUUUUUUUUUUGGUUUCCAUUUACAUAGAAUAUCUUUUUCCAUUCUUUCACUUUCAGUCUGUGUGUGUUCUUACAUCUAAAGUCAGUCUCUUGUAGGCAACAUGUAGAUGGGUCUCGUUUUUUAUCCAUUCACCACUCUGUGUCUUUUGAUUGGAAAAUUUAGCCCAUUUACAUAUAAAGUAAUUGGAGGGGGGGUGAGGAAGAUUGGCCCUGAGCUAACAUCUGUGCCACUCUUCCUCUAUUUUAUGUGGGAUGCCACCACAGCAUGGCUUGAUGAGCAGUGCCAAGUCUGCACCUGGGAUCUGAACGUGCAAACCCUGGGCCACUGAAGCAGAAAGUGUGAACUUAACCACAACACCACCAGGCCAGGCCCUAAAGUAAUGAUUAAUAAGUAUGUUCUUAUUUCCAUUUUGUUAAUUUUUUUCUAGCAGUUUUGUAGUUCCUCUCUGUUCCUUUCUUCUCUUGCUCUCUUCCUCUGCAGUUUGAUGACUUUCUUUAGUGGUAUGCUUGUAUUCUUUUCUUAUUAUAUUUUGUGCAUCUACUAUAGGUUUUUGCUUUGUGGCUACCAUGAAAAUUUUACAUAACAACUUGUAUUUGUAACAGUCUAUUUUUUUUUAAAGAUUUUAUUUUUUUCCUUUUUCUCCCCAAAGCCCCCCAGUACAUAGUUGUAUAUUUUUCAUUGUGGGUCUUUCUAGUUGUGGCGUGUGGGAUGCUGCCUCAGCGUGGUUUGAUGAGCAGUGCCAUGUCUGCGCCCAGGAUUUGAACUGACGAAACACUGGGCAGCCUGCAGCGGAGCACGCAAACUUAACCACUCAGCCAUGGGGCCGGCCCUGAGUUAGGGUUAGUAACAGUCUAUUUUAAGUUGAUAACAACGUAAGUUUGAAUGCAUGCUAAAGCUCUACACUGUUACUCUCUACCCCCACAUUUUAUGUUUUUGAUGUCACACUUUACAUCUUUUUAUCUUGUGUAUCCC